AAAUCACAAUUGUCUUGGACCGGAGAAAAGAAGCGGUGCAGCUGCAAAAUAGGCUUGGAAGGGAGUUGUUUUGGUGGAACGUGUAUGUUUCAAAGUUG